GAAUUUUAUAUUAUUUUAUUAUAUAAUUUGUACAUUUAUAAGUUUGUUCUAAUAAUAAAAUGGAUAUUUAAUUGGGAGGAUUGUUAAAUUAAAAGAACUUUAAUUAGAGUAAAAUAUAAAUUAAUAAGUUAAAGAGUGGCUUUUAAGUUAAAAAAGAAUUAAUUACCUUAGGGAUAACAGCGUAAUAUUUUUAGAGAGUUCUUAUUGAUAAAAGUGAUUGC
rnacentral:rRNA from 1 species